AAAAUUGGAAUUGGGAUUAAAAAAUUGGAUGGGAUCAAAAAAUUGGAAUUGGGAUUUUGAAAAUUGGAAUUGGGAUUAAAAAAUUGGAAUUGGGUUUUAAAAAAAUUGGAAUUGGGAUUAAAAAAAUUGGAAUUGGGAUUUUAAAAAUUGGAAUUGGGAUUUAAAAGAUUGGAAUUGGGAUUUUAAAAAUUGGGAUCAAAAAAAUUGGAAUUGGGAUUUAAAAAAUUGGAAUUGGGAUUUAAAAAAUUGGAAUUGGGAUUUAAAAAAUUGGAAUUGGGAUUUAAAAAAUUGGAAUUGGGAUUAAAAAAAUUGGAAUUGGGAUUUAAAAAUUGAUCCGGGGUUGAGGGAGGAAAGGGCGGAGGGGGAUUUUUUUUAUCGGGAUAUUUGGAUUUGGGAAAGGGGCGGUGCAGGAGGAGGAGGAAGAGGAGGGUGAGGUCAUUCCCAGUGGGAAUCCAAGCGGGAAUUUCCUCUGGAGAAGGGAGGAGGUGGCGGCGAUUUUGUAGAAAAUCAGAAUUAAAAAAAAAAAAAAACCAAGACAAAAGAAAACCCCAAAAUUCCCAAAUCCAGCUGGAAAAAUCCCAGUUGGGAAUGGCCAAAGGGAGGCUGGAGCAGCUUUUCCCCGCAUCCCACGGCUCCACUCGGAUCCAGGGAUGGCUCUGCCGGGGAAUUCUCAGCUGGGAGAGAUCCCAGGAGGAAUUUUAGGGAUGGGGGAGGCCGGGAUCUUUGUGCUGUCCCCAAAUUGGGGAAGGGAAGGAGCUUCCCGCUGCAUCCGGAAUCUUGGAAAAAUCGACUUUUUUUGCCCAAAUCGGCAAAUUCCCGGCGUUUCCCAUCUCCCUUUUCCGCACUGGAAUUCUUCCCGCUAAAGUCGGGGCCUGGGAAAUGUCCCGGGAAGUUUGGGGAGGGGAAGGAGCGGCUCCGUUCCCAGCCUUGGGAAUCUGGGAAUCCUUGGGAUUGACCUGGGAUGGAGAGAGGAGCCUGGGAGAGCAGGGAGAGGAGAAUCCAGGGAAAAGGGGGAUCCAGGGAAAAGGGGGAUCCAGGGAAAAGGGGAGCAGGAGACGCUUCCAUGGAGCCCUUGGAAAGUGCCGGGGCUGGCGGAUGCUCGGGAGAGCUCCGGGAAUUCCCAUGGAGUGGCCACAGGAUCCUUUGGGAAGAGGCAGAUCCCGGGAUUUGGGUGUCCGAGCCCAGUCCAUGUCCCCAGGGUCCAUCCCGGGGCUCAGCAGCUCCUGGGGGACAUUCCCAGAAUCCCAGAAUCCGUGAGGCUGGAAAAGAUUUCCCAAGGCCACGGCAGGGAGAGGCCAUU
rnacentral:lncRNA from 1 species